CAAAGACCUGGAAGCAACCCAAAUGCCCAUUGAUGAUAGACUGGAUAAAGAAAAUGUGGUACAUAUACACCAUGGAAUACUAUGCAGCCAU